GAUGAACGCUGGCGGCGUGCCUAAUACAUGCAAGUCGAGCGAACAGACGAGGAGCUUGCUCCUCUGACGUUAGCGGCGGACAGGUGAGUAACACGUGGAUAACCUACCUAUAAGACUGGGAUAACUUCGGGAAACCGGAGCUAAUACCGGAUAAUAUAUUGAACCGCAUGGUUCAAUAGUGAAAGACGGUUUUGCUGUCACUUAUAGAUGGAUCCGCGCCGCAUUAGCUAGUUGGUAAGGUAACGGCUUACCAAGGCAACGAUGCGUAGCCGACCUGAGAGGGUGAUCGGCCACACUGGAGCUGAGACACGGUCCAGACUCCUACGGGAGGCAGCAGUAGGGAAUCUUCCGCAAUGGGCGAAAGCCUGACGGAGCAACGCCGCGUGAGUGAUGAAGGUCUUCGGAUCGUAAAACUCUGUUAUUAGGGAAGAACAAAUGUGUAAGUAACUAUGCACGUCUUGACGGUACCUAAUCAGAAAGCCACGGCUAACUACGUG
rnacentral:rRNA from 1 species